UGAGUAAUGCUUAGGAAUCUGCCUAUUAGUGGGGGACAACAUUCCGAAAGGAAUGCUAAUACCGCAUACGCCCUACGGGGGAAAGCAGGGGAUCUUCGGACCUUGCGCUAAUAGAUGAGCCUAAGUCAGAUUAGCUAGUUGGUGGGGUAAAGGCCUACCAAGGCGACGAUCUGUAGCGGGUCUGAGAGGAUGAUCCGCCACACUGGGACUGAGACACGGCCCAGACUCCUACGGGAGGCAGCAGUGGGGAAUAUUGGACAAUGGGCGAAAGCCUGAUCCAGCCAUGCCGCGUGUGUGAAGAAGGCCUUUUGGUUGUAAAGCACUUUAAGCGAGGAGGAGGCUACUUGGAUUAAUACUCUAGGAUAGUGGACGUUACUCGCAGAAUAAGCACCGGCUAACUCUGUGCCAGCAGCCGCGGUAAUACAGAGGGUGCGAGCGUUAAUCGGAUUUACUGGGCGUAAAGCGUG
rnacentral:rRNA from 1 species